rnacentral:rRNA from 1 species
CUACGGGAGGCUCCAGUGGGGAAUAUUGCGCAAUGGGGGAAACCCUGACGCAGUGACGCCGUGUGAGUGAUGAAGGUUUUCGGAUCGUAAAGCUCUGUCAGACGGGAAGAAUAAGAACAGUAAAAAUAUUGCUGUUUGAUGACGGUACCGUCAGAGGAAGCACCGGCUAACUCCGUGCCAGCAGCCGCGGUAAUACGGAGGGUGCAAACGUUGUUCGGAAUUACUGGGCGUAAAGCGCAUGUAGGCGGAUAUGUAGGUCAGAUGUGAAAUCCCUUGGCUCAACCAAGGAAGUGCAUCUGAAACCCCAUAUCUUGAGUACGAGAGAGGGAAGUGGAAUUCCCAGUGUAGAGGUGAGAUUCAUAGAUAUUGGGAAGAACACCGGUGGCGAAGGCGGCUUUCUGGCUCGUAACUGACGCUGAGAUGCGAAAGCGUGGGGAGCAAACAGGAUUAGAUACCCCAGUAGUC